ACUCACUGAAAUGACAAAAUUUGACCUUGACACUUCAAAAUAACUUUGUAAGAGUAUAUUUGAUCACUGGAGGAAGGCUGUAAAGACUGACACUAACAGUGGUAAUGGAAGUCAAAAUCGGCUAAGAAGUGUGUAACAACUCACCUGCCAAAUCGACUAGCUCCGAUGAGUAGGAGGACGUGGGGGUCGUUGAGAAACCUCGGGCGUGAGCUUGGGUGGAUCAGCCCCCGGUGCAGAUCUUGGUGGUAGUAAAAAAUAUUCAAAUGAGAACUUUGAAGACUGAAUUGGGGAAAGGUUCCAUGUGAACAACACUUGGACAUGGGUUAGUCAAUCCUAAGAGAUGGGGAAGCCUUGUAUCAAGGGUGCACACUGCACGAGCAUCGAAAGGGAAUCAGGUUAAUAUUCCUGAACAGGGACAUGGGAACGGGCGACAACGUUAGGAAAUCUGGAGACGUCGUCGGGGGCCCUAGGAAGAGUUAUCUUUUCUCUUUAACAGCUUGCCCACCCUAGAAUUGGCUCACGCGAAGAUAGGGUCCAGUAGCUGGAAGAGCACCCCACGUCUUGCAGUGUCUGGUGUGCCCUCAGUGGCCCUUGAAAAUAUGGAGGAUCGAGUACCGUUCAUGCCUGGUCGUACUCAUAACUGCAUCAGGUCUCCAAGGUGAACAACGUCUGGUCAAUAGAACAAUGUAGGUAAUGGAAGUCGGCAAAAUGUAUCCGUAACUUCAGGAAAAGGAUUGGCUCUGAGGGCUAGGCCUAGGGGUCUGCGCCCUCAACUCAUGGGCUAUCGGCAGUUUGCCCAAGAUGCUCUCGUAGUGAGGGCAGGUAGUCGCGUGCCGAUUGGGCUACGGGCGUAGAAUGCCCCCCGUCAAGGGCUUUUCCCUAGGCGUUGAAAAGUUGACUCAAAACUAGUACAGACAAGGGGAAUAUAAUUGUUUAAUUAAAACAAAGCAUUGUGAUCCCUACGUAUGCUGACACAAUGUGAUUUCUGCCUAGUGCUCUAAAUGUCAAAGCGAAGAAAUUCAACCAAGCGCGGGUAAACAACGGGAGUAACUAUGACUCUCUUAAGGUAGCCAAAUUCCUCGUCAUCUAAUUAGUGACGCACAUGAAUGGAUUAACAAGAUUCCCACUGUCCCUAUCUACUAUCUAGCGAAACCACAGCUAAGGGAACGGGUUUGGCAGAAUCAGCGGGGAAGGAAGACCUUGUUGAACUUGACUUGAGUCCGACUUUGUGAAAUGACUUGAGAGGUGUAGAAUAAGUGGGAUCCGUUUUUAGCGCAAGUGAAAUACCACUACUUUUAACGUUAUUUUACUUAUUCUGUGGGGUAGAGACGAGGAACUGCCCCUAUUUUUGGCCUUAAGGGACGUUUCGGCGGGUCGAUCCGGGCGGAAGACAUUGUCAGGUGGAGAGUUUGGUUGGGGCGGCACAUCUGUUAAAAGAUAACGUAGGUGUCCUAAGAUGAGCUCAACGAGAACCGAAAUCUGAUGUGGAACAAAAGGGUAAAAGCUCAUUUGAUUUUGAUUUUAAAUAUGAAUACAAACCGUGAAAGUGUGGCCUAUCAAUCCUUUAGAUUUUUAGAAUUUGAAGCUAGAGGUGUCAGAAAAGUUACCACAGGGAUAAAUGGUUUUUGGCAGCCAAGCGUUCAUAGCGACGUUGCUUUUUUAUCCUUCGAUGUCAGCUCUUCCUAUCAUUGUGAAGCAAAAUUCACCAAGUGUUGGAUUGUUCACCCACCAAUAGGGAACAUGAGAUGGGUUUAGACCAUCGUGAGACAAGUUAGUUUUACCCUACUGAUGAACCACACCGCAAUAGUAAUUCAACUUAGUACGAGAGGAACCGUUGAUUCACACAAUUGGUCAUCGCGCUUGGUUGAAAAUCCAGUGGCGUGAAGCUAGCAUGUGUCGGAUUAUGGUUGAACGCCUCUAAGUCAGAAUCCACGGUAGAAGCGGUGCACGUCACUCUUCGACUGUAUCUUGACCUGCAUGUAGGGGUGUCGCUUUGUCGCCCCCAGGGGCCCAUGUCAUUUGCAAACCGCGACCGUGAAGCAUCUCGGUCGGGGAAGCUUUGAAGUUCAAUUC
rnacentral:rRNA from 1 species